rnacentral:misc_RNA from 1 species
AAACAAGUCUCAAACUUUAUACGUUCAGAGACCUCGCCGCUCCUUGGCGGCUGUAAGAGGUCGCAAUUGCUUCCUCCGGUGACUGCUUUGCCGUCUCUCUCCAAUAUUGUGGCGGAAUUUACUUCUCAAAUACUUCAUCUUCUCCUUACACUGUUUUUGAGGUCUCGAUAGGAAGAUGGGAGCUAAGGACUUGGAGAGGAAGCUGAAGAAAAAGAAGAUUAAAGAUGGAGAAUCACAAACAAUGAACUCUAACUCUGUUCAAAAUGAGGAAAAUUUUCCCAAGGUAACCAAAGAAAAGAAAAGGAACAAGAAGAACUUGAAUAUGCAAAGUAGAAGAAGCAAAGAUGAUAUAGAUGAAUGUCAUAUCGCAUAUCAUAAAGAUGAAUCAAACAAUGCAGUUGGGGAAAAGAAAAAGAGCAAAUCAUCAAAGCAGAAGAGGAAAAAUAACACACUUGCUGAAAGUGGUGGAGUUAAUCAAUCUAAUGAAAUAGAGGAUGAAAUUGGCCGAGAUAAUACCAUAUCAAGUGAGCCUGAUAAUCAGGAAACAAGAAAAUCCAAGAGAAAGAAGAGAAAAAGUGACAAGAAAGCUGGCAAAGCGGAAGUUGACGGUGUCCCCAAACGACAAAGAGGCAAUUUAAAAGAGACCAAUGACAUUGUAGAGAAGGAUCAUCCAUUAUCAAUAGCUAAGGAUGAUUUUCCAGUGGACGGAGAACAAGUUGAAGAAGAAGAGAUUUAUGAACUAUCUUCAGGGGAUGAGGAUUACUCCAAAGGAAUGAGAAAAUGGGUUGCUAAUUAUUAUCAGAAUAGGCCAGGGUUAGAUGUGUUGCAAGAAAGGAUUGAUGAGUUUAUAAUUGACUACGAGGCGAAAAAGGAACAGGAAAAGAAAGAAAAAGAAGCGCUUGCUGCUGAAGAUGGAUGGACUGUUGUUGUACAUCACAAAGGCAGGAAAAAGACCACAGAUUCUGAAACUGGAAUCGCAGUCGGUUCUGUUUCUCAGGCUGCAGUUAUGGAUAAUGUGGCCAAAAAGAAAAAUAAAGACGUGGGAUUAGAUUUCUACCGGUUUCAGAAAAGAGAAGCAAAGAGAAACGAGAUCAUGGUGCUGCAGAGCAAGUUUGAGCAGGACAAGAAGCGGAUACAACAGUUGAGGGCUGCAAGGAAGUUUCGACCUUACUGAACAAAGAGAAAAUCUCCAUAGCAGAGUUAUAGCUGCACAAACUUUACAGAGAACCGAUGUCAAGAUUGUUCAGUUCAAUUCUGCUUCCUUAAAGAUAAUCAGCUUAGCCAACAACAGAGGGUGAUUGAUAAGAUUAUAUGAUACGCAUGAGACUCACGAGUGUAAUGAAGUAUUGUUCUUGUAUGUGGAGUCCCCAAUUUUGACUGUAGUUGAGUAGAUGCCAAAUCUUUCUUCAGUGAAGCUUAUGCUUUAUGCUUCUAAUGGUAGGAAUUUCACUUAUAAAUCAGAUUGGUCAUCUGAUUUUCUCUAAGCUUGUUGCCCGGGAAAUUAAAGACUAUCUUCUCAAUUAUAGCAUUCUCUGUUCUAUUCAUCUUAAUGACAGUAUUUCCUAUAGAGUAUGA